GAUCUAGUCUUUAGAUGUCUUUAUAACCAGGUCUAGUCUUUAGAUGUCUUUAUAACCAGGUCUAGUCUUUAGAUGUCUUUAUAACCAGGUCUAGUCUUUAGAUGUCUUUAUAACCAGGUCUAGUCUUUAGAUGUCUUUAUAACCAGGUCUAGUCUUUAGAUGUCUUUAUAACCAGGUCUAGUCUUUAGAUGUCUUUAUAACCAGGUCUAGUCUUUAGAUGUCUUUAUAACCAGGUCUAGUCUUUAGAUGUCUUUAUAACCAGGUCUAGUCUUUAGAUGUCUUUAUAACCAGGUCUAGUCUUUAGAUGUCUUUAUAACCAGGUCUAGUCUUUAGAUGUCUUUAUAACCAGGUCUAGUCUUUAGAUGUCUUUAUAACCAGGUCUAGUCUUUAGAUGUCUUUAUAACCAGGUCUAGUCUUUAGAUGUCUUUAUAACCAGGUCUAGUCUUUAGAUGUCUUUAUAACCAGGUCUAGUCUUUAGAUGUCUUUAUAACCAGGUCUAGUCUUUAGAUGUCUUUAUAACCAGGUCUAGUCUUUAGAUGUCUUUAUAACCAGGUCUAGUCUUUAGAUGUCUUUAUAACCAGGUCUAGUCUUUAGAUGUCUUUAUAACCAGGUCUAGUCUUUAGAUGUCUUUAUAACCAGGUCUAGUCUUUAGAUGUCUUUAUAACCAGGUCUAGUCUUUAGAUGUCUUUAUAACCAGGUCUAGUCUUUAGAUGUCUUUAUAACCAGGUCUAGUCUUUAGAUGUCUUUAUAACCAGGGCUAGUCUUUAGAUGUCUUUAUAACCAGGUCUAGUCUUUAGAUGUCUUUAUAACCAGGGCUAGUCUUUAGAUGUCUUUAUAACCAGGUCUAGUCUUUAGAUGUCUUUAUAACCAGGUCUAGUCUUUUAGAUGUCUUUAUAACCAGGGCUAGUCUUUAGAUGUCUUUAUAACCAGGUCUAGUCUUUUAGAUGUCUUUAUAACCAGGUCAAGUCUGGUAAUCAAGUAUGUAUUACAUUGGUGUAGUGCAAAGCUACAUUACAAUUCAAAUAGAACAUUGAUUAGAGUAUGGUAU